UUUAUUUUUAUUUUUUUGUUGACGUGUUUCGGAUUCUACCUUGACCCAAACGUUACUCUGUUUCGCUAAACCUUAGUGACGUUUUCGAUGUAUUUAAAGAUACGUGAACUAAGUCCAGAAAUUAUAUGAAAAAGGCAGUAUAUUGUUAAAAUAUGUUUUCAAUUUUUCUAGUACAUUGAAAGAAAUACGUUUGAGAUACAGUAUAAUAUUAGUUUAUGAGUAAUAUCAUUGUCUUGUAUGGUCUUAAUCGAAGUUGUGUCUAGCUGACUGAGACGUCAAACCGGUGCAAGUUGUCAAAGACAUAGGCGUAGUUCGUUUUUUAAUUGUAAAACAGUGUUUAUUUUGGCGAAAUUUUCACUGCAAAUUUAAAAACACGUGAUAGUUACUUCAUGGGGUAUAUAAUAAACGUAUGAAGUGCUAUGGUUUUGUUGUUAUAGUAUUCUUUUUUCACUUUACAAUGGCGGAUGACACGAAUCAUCGCGACGCAAUAAAAAUGGCCGCUGUAUUGGUAAGGCGUGCGUCAAUUAUGCGCGGUGCAAUAUAGUUUCUUUGCUCAAGACGGUGAAAGGGCGCGAAAUUAUGCAUAGUUAUAAAUGAAAGUUUACGGGUGAUCUAACGAUGUGUGAUAUUGUACCACAAAAAAGUAAUGUUCCAAUUUCAGAAGUAAACAUUUAAAAGAAGGCUUUACUGUCUCGGGUCAUUUUCAUUACCGUGGUGUGGGUCUUGAGUUUUUGUAUACACAAAAAUAAGAAAAUACAACUGACAUUGACAACAUUUAAUCAAUGUGUCUUUUCAAUAUGUAUCAAAAUAUAUAUUACAAUAAAUAAAAGGAAUAGAAGCAUUGUUAAAAUUAAUCAUAGGUUCUGUAAGUGCAAUAUUAUCAUGUUAAAAUUUGUUUUAUAUGUGCUCUAUAGCACGUACGACAUCUACAAGUUUCGACACUUAACCUCAAUAAGUGAAUAUUUACAAUAGGAAUGGAUAAUCGGUACACAGUAUACUUAUUUAUAAAAAACUUCCAAGAAAGAGACAAUCAGUGAUUUAAAGAACAAGUUUAUACAUACAUAUUCUAUAAAAUAUGGUAAGAUUAUAUGCACACGAAUGAAACGUAACAAUCGGUAAUGGCCAAUAAUUUUAAAUAUAAUAACGCCACAUCCAUUAUUAUGUUGUUAUUUUUUGAAAGACAUCUUUACGUCCUGGUAAAUACCAAAAUUUUCAAUAUUUGAUUGACAAUGAACAUAAUUUUACAUGUUACAUAUAAAUACUGAUGAAAUACGUAUCGACAAAACAUUCCAGUAAAUAGAAAAAUAUGCCUAGUUUACCUGUGAAGGAUCCCUCCCUCUGCGUUCCAAGAUGAUCCUCUUUUCCAUGUUCAUAAAUAUACCAAUUAACACUUUGAACAACUUUAGAUUCGCCAACAAAUUAUUUCUCAAGGAACUAAAUCACUAAGCUUGGGUUUCAAAACAGAAGGAAAUUAUAGAUACACGAGUGACGUCGAACUAGUAGCGCCGUCUGGUGGCUAAACAGUGUUACCGGAUAGUGUUCGUUUGAGCAACUUUUAUCAUAAUUUUGUUGUUUUUUGUGUUACAAGAAGUAUUGAGCCCCGUAAUAUAUUGAUAAAAAAUUAAAUGGUUUGUAAUAUUAAAUUUGUCUUGUUGUUUAA